GAGAAAAAGAAAGCGCCAGAACCAACGGUGAAGUUCGAGAUCCGAAGUGCGAAGUUCGGGGACGGAAGUUUAGAGGAUAGAAAUCCGAGGAUGGAAGCUCGAUGAGAGAAGUCCGGGGAUGGAAGUCCUGGGAUGGGAACCCAAGGGCGGAAGCUCAGGGUUCGAAGCCCGGGUUCAGAAAUCGGGGGCAGCGGAUCGCGGUGUCGGGGUCUCGGGGUCUCGGGGUCGGAGAUCGAAGACUGAGUUGGUUGACGAGGAAGAGGGUUAUCGAAGGUUUCGGCGGAUCCCUCUCGGUGGCUUGCCAUCGUUAAGUUUGCCACAAAACCGGGGAGCAAUUCCCGUGACAAAAAGCAAACCCGCAAGACAA
rnacentral:ncRNA from 2 species